AUUGAACGCUGGCGGCAUGCUUUACACAUGCAAGUCGAACGGUAACAGGCCGCAAGGUGCUGACGAGUGGCGAACGGGUGAGUAAUGCAUCGGAACGUGCCCAGUCGUGGGGGAUAACGCAGCGAAAGCUGUGCUAAUACCGCAUACGAUCUAUGGAUGAAAGCGGGGGACCGUAAGGCCUCGCGCGAUUGGAGCGGCCGAUGUCAGAUUAGGUAGUUGGUGGGGUAAAGGCCGACGAAGCCGACGAUCUGUAGCUGGUCUGAGAGGACGACCAGCCACACUGGGACUGAGACACGGCCCAGACUCCUACGGGAGGCAGCAGGGGGGAAUUUUGGACAAUGGGCGCAAGCCUGAUCCAGCAAUGCCGCGUGCAGGAAGAAGGCCUUCGGGUUGUAAACUGCUUUUGUACGGAACGAAACGGUCUGGGUUAAUACCCUGGGCUAAUGACGGUACCGUAAGAAUAAGCACCGGCUAACUACGUGCCAGCAGCCGCGGUAAAAC
rnacentral:rRNA from 1 species